GCAAAUGUCUGCAGUUGAGCGCUCAGGUUGGUACUUGUACCGACUGGAUGAGCAGCGAACGGGUGAGUAACGCGUGGGGAAUCUGCCUUUGAGCGGGGGACAACAUUUGGAAACGAAUGCUAAUACCGCAUAAAAACUUUAAACACAAGUUUUAAGUUUGAAAGAUGCAAUUGCAUCACUCAAAGAUGAUCCCGCGUUGUAUUAGCUAGUUGGUGAGGUAAAGGCUCACCAAGGCGAUGAUACAUAGCCGACCUGAGAGGGUGAUCGGCCACAUUGGGACUGAGACACGGCCCAAACUCCUACGGGAGGCAGCAGUAGG
rnacentral:rRNA from 1 species